AACCCAGAUGUUCUAGUACUAGAGGAGGUUUUUUUUUCUCUUUUUUUUCCCAGGAAAUAACCUUCUCCAAACUGCAGUUUCCACGCCAUAUUAUAAUAUUUUGCUAUUUUGUCACUCGUUUUUUUUCCAUGGCACAUUUGCGAAGAUCUGAUCACAGCGCGGCAGUGUCUUUAAUCCGGCUCUACGGGCUGUUAAGUGAGAGAAUCUAAACGUGACGUCAAUGCCUAGUAACUGACGCAGCCCUUAAACAAAAAAAACAAAAAAGCCAUUUUAUUUAUUAUUUUUUCUUCGUCUCGUCAGCAAAGCUUAAUUUCUAAAUGUUAUAGUACUCCGUCGACUGAAAGAAAAAAGAAAAUCCCAGGGAGCGCAGGUAAUCCGCGUUCAUCAGUAUUUGGACCUGCGUUCAUGAGUUUCAUGCUGAAGUGACACUGGGACGAGAAGCUUCUGAAGAGGGCGACAAGACAUAAAAUGUUCUCGAUAAUAUUGGCAGCGACGACGAGUUCCAGAUUUUAGUUGUAGAGGGUGAAAGUAGUGUGUUUUAAGGCCGAGAACGGGGUGGAGGUGCUGUUGAAGGCACAUUGGGUUGCUAAAAAAAAACACUGCAAUGAUGCAACGGAGGGGAAUCGGGGCUCUUGUGCAGAGUUGUAGAGGCAAAAUUAAUUUACAUUACAUGCACUUCACGUAACGUUCCUACGCGAUGCCUUUUGUGAGUGUUUUUCCCUUCCUCAUACUGUGACCUAAAAAUAGCAUCAUAGUUUUGAUCGUGCGCCAGAAAUAGACAGACGGGUAUCACUUGUAUAAAAAGGGAGGCGAUCCUGAGCAAACUUGGACGUGCCACUAACAAGGACGUGCCUGCACCACGGUAUGACUCUUAUUGGCAUGCUUUACGACCCAUGUUUGACUGUAGAGCCGAAGCAUAGAGCAACCCUUCCCGCAGAGUUGGAAUCACCUCUUUUGGAUAGAACAACGAAUAUGAAAAUAAGGUAACUUGUGUGGUGGACCCUGCCGCUGCUGUGGGAGCUUCCAGCUGUGCGCCGGAGGAGAAAAGGGGGACCCACGUUUUGGGUGUUUUCACCGAGGAGCGUAGACGGAGAAAGGGAGAGAGAGAGAGAGAGAGACACCGACCGUCCGACAGACCUUCCUCCUCCUAUUGUCCUCCUCCUCUUCCUCAUCCCGAGAAAGGACCUCAAUGAUGCCUGUGAGAGGAAAGAAAACAGAAACUAACACAGACAAUGAUGCAGAAAGGAACAAUAAAGGUCGGCAGGGAGAGAGAAGGCAGCGGGACGGGCGGACGGAGAGCUUGGAUCAACCGACACCUUUUUUUCCAACAGCAACACCCAAAAUCCUGAGAGUCAAGCCAGUUUGAGUGAGACACACCCAUACCUCGCUGUCCUCAGGACCACAAAGAGUCAUCUAAUCCCGGUAUGGGAAGGUAAAAAGGACAGCUGUAACUGUUACGACAGCAGCCACCAUGUAAAGCAGCUGUAACUGGACAUGACACACACAUGAACGCAGAUGCAGCUGCUGUAAUGAUGCUGUGGUUGUCAGAUGAAAUAAGACUAUGGCUGUUUGGCUGCGAGGACACGACCGAGACGUGAAGGUGGACUCUCAAAACGUCCAAUAGCAGUGUGUGUGUGUGUGUGUGUAUAUUUCAUGUGUGAAAUAAUUAUGUUUAAUGCUGUCAGUUUAAAAACACUUUGAGGCUACUCUUUUACAGGUUACACUACACUUAAUUGCUGUUUUUAAUAUGUAAAACAUAUGUGAAAAACCUAGGUAUCAGAACUUGUUACUUUAUACAUGUUUAUUAAAUUAAAGAUCAGUGUAUAAUACUGCCUGUGCAAUGAUGUCAGAAUAUAAAAUCGGUGCUGUAAAAGUAUUUUUUGUAAAGAUUAUUUUGUGAAAGAGGACAUUUUAUAAAUAUAUUUUACCCUAAACAUUGUGACUGUGACUGUGAGACAGCUGGCCAGAAAUGCAUUUGAUUGCAACCCGUUUGAUAAUUGUUACACAACGUGCCGCUUCUUCCUCUCGGUGUCAUGUUGACUUCGAUCCCGCCACUUACGUCGAAGAAUACAAGUAACUGCACGAUGACUGUCAGCAUGUGGAAACAUUUUCAUACUCUUGGCCCUCUGCUGAGUACAUGUCAGGCUUUGCUUUGUGCCACAGAGCCUCGGUGUGUCAGAAUAUCAUGUUUAGUUUUGGUGUGAGAGAGACAUAGAGCAUGGCGGCAGAUGGGGUGAGUUGGAGACUUAAAAAAAUGCUAAAAAUAGGCUUUCUGGGUCGGAGUGGGGAAAUCACAUACUGCUGAGGAGUAAAAUCGUGACAACCGCUUGUGCUGAAACAUCCAACGUCUGUAAACAUGCCUGUCUCAUUCAUGUGCAUGGAAAUGUUAAGACGAUGGAAACAAAGCGAUGGCAAU